ACCAAUAAUGUGCCAUCAUCAUCUGUUCGGUAAAGGACACACCUCGAAAAGCGUUUUAAAGCUCAGUCUGCCUCAUGAGUGUCCUACAUGCGCACCACAGCUUUUUAAAUAUUUCAAACAGGUUUCUCACGUCUGGCUGGUUAAAGAAAUGUCUCAUUUACCUGUCCGAAAUGUAGUUUUCCCUCAGGUAUUGGCUCGAGGUGGAUAUUUGUGCUGAUUUGAGAGUGUGUCUGGAGUGAACAGACUGGAGCGCGCGCGCGCGGGAAAGAGGGAGUUGCGCGCGCUGAGGAUGCUUCAGGAUGAAUUUUGGUUUGGAAAGCCUUUGGCAACCGUCGGAUAAAUGUUUAGCUAUUGACAGUUUGGCUUUAUCUUACGUUAUGAUGAUAAUUUGACGGCAGAUAAAAAUGUUCUGUAUUGUUUCUGAAGGGAACCAGCGUGUAAUAGGUGCUCAUUAGGAGGAAUAUUGCGCGCAAUGCGCAACACGAAGCAGCGUCGGUGGAUCAGAAGAAACGCGCAGAUAUUUUCCACACAGCAGUAGCAGAAUCAUAUGUCCAUGAUUGCCUCUUCAACUUGCUGCAAGAGUCUUUUGCAAACGUUUCCUUCUGAAGCUGACGCAGACCAAGAUCCUUCUGGGAUGUCACACGGGCUUUGCCUGUGUGUCAAUUUAGCCACUUCCCUUGGAUAAGCUGCCAGAAGAUUAAGCCAGAACAAUUGCAGACCAUCUUUAUCAAGCCAAAACACAACAAUUAAACAUCUUCCCUGUGUUUUCCCAACCAGUGUGAGUAUUUUAGAGUCUCCAGCUUAUUUGGAGAGGUUGACUUUUUCAGUCAGCUGCAGUUUGCCCGGUUAUAGCUCCCCCUAGCAGCUCCCUCCAUAUUUCCUUGUUCAUGCUAGCCUUGAUAUCUAUUCUCACCCUAUACAGACACCAUGCCAAGACCUUUAAAAAUCCAUAUACAGGCAUGCAUUAGGGCCAAUAUACAUCCCAAUGAGCCCAUCCAUCCAUUAGUGGCCUGGCCAUUGGAGAACACAGCUCUUCCUACCUCUUCAGAUUGCUACCUCCUUCUCCAAAGUCCCAAUCCCGACUGUACUUCUUCUUCCCAGCAAACACUGCAAAAGAGGCUCUUCCAUUUUAGCUCAAUAUGGAGGGGUGUUCAAAUUGGACUAUACCAUUUAAAAUGGCCCUAAGAUGGCUGUGGAGCCUCAAAAAGGGCCCUUUGGCCACCAUAUAAUGCAGGUCUCCACUUGCUCCAUGACAGAAGCAAGAAUGAACCCCUAUUGACCAGCCCCCUCCUAGAGCUACAGAUGACCUCCCCCAAUGACAUUCAAAUAUUCCAGCCUUCCAACAGUCAGAUAGUGUCUAUACAGAGAGCCGACUGUCACUUCUGGAGCAGCUGAGGGCACAGAAAACCUCCAGACAGGCCAGCUGCCAAGCUCUGCCAUUGCUCACAAUAGGUGCAAGCUGUUUGUGGGGGGCUUAUUAGUCAAAUAAAGAUUUAAAUAAUAAAUUAAGAGCUAGAAUAAACCAAAUGUGUUAAAAUAGGGCAGAGAAAUAUGAGACAUCUAUUGCAUAUGCUGGCACUGAGAUAAAAAGGAUACAUUUCUAUUGGUGCCCAAACAGGACACCUGUUUCUAGCAUUAAUAAAACAAAACUUAACAAUCUUAGCAAUGGUUAUUAAAUUGCAUUUUAAGGAAUACUGAGUAGUUAGGGUAUAUAUGUACUGAAUUGAGACAAAUAAUUGCCGUAUAACUGUUUUUACCAAUAUAAACUGCCUUUUUAUGUUGAUUUCUGCUGGUACAGGCAUUUCCAUGCUUCUGUUCCUUUAAAUGCAAGAAGGAAGCACUAAAAUGAGUCUCUUUAAUGCAUAAUUCAUUGAACAAUGGCUAUAUUAGUCAAAAUAAAAUAAAAAAAAACCCAACAAAUUAAUAAACAAACCAAUUCACUUUUUCUAGGUAAAAGGAACGUGUUUUCAGUGGUGUCAAAAUAUUGCACCUCUUUUAUGCAAUAAUUAAAUUACAAAGCUUAAAAGCCUUUGCAUUGGAAUUGUAAAUAUCUUUUAAGGUAUACUGAUUAACAUACAGUAUAUCUACUGAUUUCAGAGCAACUGUUGUUGAAUGGCUGUUGUAUAUCAAUUUGAAAUGCCUUUUUAUCACACUUUCUGAUUCAUAGUCAUUCCUGAGCUCUUGUUCCUUUAAAUAUAACAAACUUGCUGUAAAAUGAGCUGUUAGGAUGUUUUUUAGUGCAUGCAUUGGUGUAGAAUAACAAUUAUAAUCCAAUAAAACAAGAAAUAAUUUUUAAAAACGUCCCAAUUAAUUCCUUGGGGUCAGUUCUUGUUAAAACAGUCACAUUUUCAACAGACUACCUGACUAAAGUCUUGUCGCCUAUUCAAGUUUUAGAAACAACAGGUAAUAGCUUGACUUUUAGUUGAUUAUUUGGUAUUAGAAGUGGCUUAUAUGAAAGGCGAAUGCCUCUAGUUUACGUUUGUUUUUCCAAAAUAAAAUAUGACAAUGCCUUGAUUUUAAAUUAUUUUAUUAGGACAGUAAGGUCUGACUUUGCUUAGACAAAAGUCUUGUCACUUAACAAAAAUAAUGUGCAGUGUAGAAUAUAAAGUCAUGGAGCAGUGGAAAAAGAAUGAACAUUGUGUAUGACUCCCAUGAGCUUGGAGGACUGCAUCUAUACAUCUCUGCAAUAACUCAAAUAGCUUAUUAAUAAAGUCAUCUGGAAUGGCAAAUAAAGCGUUCAUGCAGGACUCCCAGAGUUCAUCAAGAUUCUUUGGAUUCAUCUUCAAUGCCUCCUCCAUCUUACAUCAGACAUGCUCAAUAAUGUUCAUCUCUGGUGACUGGGCUGGCCAAUCCUGGAGCACCUUGAGCUACUUUGCUUUCAGGAUCUUUGAUGUGGAGGCUGAAGUAUGAGCAGCGCUAUCCUGCUGAAGAAUUUCCCUUCUCUUGUGGUUUGUAACGUAAUGGGCAGCACAAAUGUCUUGCUACCUCAGGCUGUCGAUGUUGCCUUUCACUGCAGAUCUCUUGCAUGCCCCCAUACUAAAUGUAACCCUAAACCAUGACUUUUUCUUCACCAAACUUGACUGAUAUCUGUGAGAAUAUUGGGUCCAUGUGGGUUCCAAUAGGUCUUCUGCAGUAUUUGUGAUGAUUGGGAUGCAGUUCAAGAGAUGAUUCAUCAGAAAAAUCUACCUUCUGCCACUUUUCAAAUGAUCAAUUAGACGGCAAGUUUUUUUACUCUUACAACUGGGAUCAACGACAAGACCUUUGUCAGGUAGUGUAUGACACACACUUCUAUUAUUGAUCAAGCAACAAGCAGUGUAAUUUAAAAAUUGACUGAUGUGUACUGAUUUGAGGCCAGUGAGUGUUGAAUUACAGUUUUACUAAAAUGCCUUUUCACCAUUACAGAUAUGUACAGGCUACUUUUUUCUUAAAAGUACUGUACAUCAAACAUGUUCUAAACAGUGGUUAUUUGUCCUUUGCCAUUGUUCAGUUGUCAUGAAUCAGCAUACAAAAGCAAACAUUUAAUCUAGUUAAACAAAAAUUACAUAUAAAUAAAUAAACCAAUGAAUUGUUUUGAGAUCAGUGCAUCAUAUUCUGACUUUCAAUAACUUUAGUGUACUGUAGUAGCAUAUUUUGUAUCUUGAUAGCCUGACAUUUAAUAGAGACAAAAAAAUUGUUUUGUCUGCUCAAUAUGGAAAAUGAUGUCUGCUAAAUAACUACUGUAGAAGAAAUAAUGUAUCUAAAUGCACAAAGUUGUGCAUUCGCUAUCAUAAUCAUGGAGGCCAUUGAAUAUUCGGUCUGAAAUCGCAAGCAAUGACUUCAAAACAGCACUAUUUAAUUGACUGAACAAUGUUGUACAUUAGUCAUUUACUGUUAAAUUAAAUUAAUGUUAAUAUUUCUCGUUACGAAUUAGGAAAGAACACUUGCAAGAAAUUAUACUGUUAAGGAGAAAGUUGGAAUGUGCAAAAUUUGCGAAUAAUAACUUAUAUAACCAACUUUACCUCAAUCCUGAUGUUUUGUCACGGCAACGUUAAUCCGUGCUUAUUUCAUGAUUUCACUCCGUUGUUGUUGUUUUUUUUAAUAUACUACGUUAAAAUUGCAGGUGCUAAAUCGUUAGCGUUAAACAUGCUACAAAAAUAUAAAAUGUAAUAACACUUACCGAAGUCGCGUAGUAAAAGUCGGAAUAGCUAACGUUACAGAUCAAAGUGAGAUUACAAUGAAUUUUUGAACAUUUACCUAUUUUGGGACAAGUGUGCAUUAUCUCCACAAGUCCCAGGGGUGCGAACACAAUCCAGCAUGCGAGAGUCAUUUGUUCAGACAGGCAUCCGUUAACUGCCCUUAAGCCUCGUGUUAUUAACCCAAACAAUAGUUCGGUAACCUGGGGCUGGAGAUAUACUAAUCGAAUUUCCACCGCUCAUCUUAGGCUGGGUCGCUAACUCAUUGAUUUAAUGUAACAUUUACAUUUAGUUUCAAUAUCUAAAAAUAAGAACGUAAACAGAACCAUUUUAUUUUGCAUUGACUUUAAUUUAUACUUUAAUUGAUUUUUAAAUGUCUUACCCUCAAGUUUAUGUAUCAUGUCCAUUUUUUGCUUCUCUUUCUUUCUCUCUCUUGUGUCUUUUUCAUUGAUAGUGUAAUUCAUAUUUUGUAUUGUAAACAAAUAUUACCAUAAACUUUUCAAUUAUUAUUAUUAUUAUUAUUAUUAUUAUUAUUAUCAUUUUUUUGCAAAUAAAAAAAGUAAAGGGAAGGUAGGAUCUUUGCUAAUGGAUCACAUUCAUUCAUUAAUUUAUUUUCCUUUGGCUUAGUCCCUUUAUUGAUCAGGGGUCGCCACAGUGAAAUGAACCACCAACUUAUCCAGCAUAUGUUUUACACAGCGGAUUUCCUUCCCUGCUGCAACAGUACUGGGAAAUUAUUUUCUUUGUUUGUUUGUUUAUUUAUUUAUUUUUUGUUUAUUAAUUUGUUUGUUUCUGUUACUAUUUACAUAACUAUUAAAAUCCCUAAUUUAGGCCUACUUUAAAAUGUAAACAAAUGUAAAAUAUGUAUACAUACGUAAUUAUUCAUUCUCAGCAUUUCUGGAGUAGUGUUGAUAUUUGUUUUAACUUACAAAGGUCUGAAACAUUUCCUCUCUUGUAAUUUAUUACACAAAUGUAAAAUACCAAAUAAAGCCUUUCCCUCCAUGUACUGUAU
rnacentral:lncRNA from 1 species